CCGAAGAGGGGAAAGGUUCCAU
rnacentral:snRNA from 1 species